CAUCCUCCAAGGCUAAAUACUCCUGACUGACCGAUAGUGAACCAGUACCGUGAGGGAAAGGCGAAAAGAACCCCGGCGAGGGGAGUGAAAAAGAACCUGAAACCGUGUACGUACAAGCAGUGGGAGCACAGGUUUACCUGUGUGACUGCGUACCUUUUGUAUAAUGGGUCAGCGACUUAUAUUCUGUAGCAAGGUUAACCGUAUAGGGGAGCCGGAGGGAAACCGAGUCUUAACCGGGCGUUAAGUUGCAGGGUAUAGACCCGAAACCCGGUGAUCUAGCCAUGGGCAGGUUGAAGGUUGGGUAACACUAACUGGAGGACCGAACCGACUAAUGUUGAAAAAUUAGCGGAUGACCUGUGGCU
rnacentral:rRNA from 6 species